rnacentral:rRNA from 1 species
CAGCAGCCGCGGUAAUACGUAGGUGGCAAGCGUUGUCCGGAAUUAUUGGGCGUAAAGCGCGCGCAGGUGGUUUAAUAAGUCUGAUGUGAAAGCCCACGGCUCAACCGUGGAGGGUCAUUGGAAACUGUUAAACUUGAGUGCAGGAGAGAAAAGUGGAAUUCCUAGUGUAGCGGUGAAAUGCGUAGAGAUUAGGAGGAACACCAGUGGCGAAGGCGGCUUUUUGGCCUGUAACUGACACUGAGGCGCGAAAGCGUGGGGAGCAAACAGGAUUAGAUACCCCCGUAGUCCCUGUCUCUUAUAA